GAUUAGUGCUGUGCUAUCAGAGGGUCGGGCAGCAAGCAGAUAACCCAUCUAAUAGUGUACACUUUCCACGUUAAACCUGCCUGGGAGGAACCAGUGCUGUUUGGUCUCUGCAAACUGCUGACGUUCCGGCUCUGUGACCAGUUUUGUCAGUGGACUUGAAUGAGGCUGCAAAGGCAUCACACUAUUCACCACUGACAGAGAGGAGAUAACAGGCGUUGUGGAUGUGCAGUCUGACAUGCCAUGGCAGUGCUGUGUUUCAUUGUGGAGUGUUGAGAUGUUACUGAACAUGGUCUUCUCUUCAAGUGAAGGCCUGAGGUGUCAAAUGGAGAGCCAGAAAGCCAUUCCUUCUUGGAAGUGUUGUUCCUUGUGAAGGAAAGCUAACUUCUCUAAGGCAUCGUUCCUGAUAGCAUGGAAGCACAAAGCUAGCUUCUCCUAGGCCUGACAUCUCAGGCAGUGCUUCAUGUCCAACCUUGUUGUGCCCGAGGAGGAGGUCUGAUGCUUUUCUGUUUCCUGGAAGCGGGAUGCCUCACCUUCACCCACUGGGAAGGUAAAACGGCAACUAUAGGGUUCUCUGCACAGGAAUGCUAUUUUGGGAUGAUGAAGAAUUAUUUGCAAGAGGAAUUUCUGAAGAAUUCUGUAUGAGGAGGGGCACUCAGAGAUCCCAGUGGAGAGGACUGUCUAGACAGCUUGGUGAGCAGAAGAGGGGAUGUAGGGCUGACUCUGACUCCUCUCCAAUCUUGGGCAAGUCACAGAGGGCUCUGACACCCACUCUAAUAAAGAGCAAAUAGUGGUAGCAAGCUAAGACACUGCAGUUAGAAGCCCUUUGCUGCAGGGCUCCAUCCCUGCAGUGGUUGGAAGGAAGGACUGCAUCCCAGCUGUCCUCCACCUCCAUGUGGCGUCUCCUGUUAAUCCUGUGUCUGUCCCCUCUCAAUGCAUGGGCAGUAAUGGGUAUAUCCAAGCUCAGAGGUGUGGGAGGAGGCUGGAAGAAUAGGGCUGGGCUAGGUGGAUGUUUUUAUGAAGUGUUACAGCAGAUGAUUUUGGGGCAUUGCCAAACAUAUGGGACUGGAGCUUCAUGCUGAGAAAGUUUGCGUUCUAAUUCUUGUCUAUUUUGGCAGUGCUGUAAUGGUUCAUAGUAAUAAAAACCCUGGGAACAGGAAGGGACAAGAUGCUUAGCCGAUUUAAGAGAGACCUUUGCCAUUAGCAGAACAUACAUGCUUUCAGGUGAGCUUGUCACAUCAGGCCUAAAUGAAUUUGUGAUUCAUGGACUUGCUAGGCUCUCUCUGCCUUUGUCAGGCAGAUCUUUUGGACAAUAUGAUGACACCAGAGAUUUUGCAUAAAGGAAUCUCUUCCCACUUCCUGUUCUCUGAAAGGCAGCUAAUUUCAGGACAGAACCUGGCAGCUGAUUGUAGGAAAAGAAGUGAUCAUCAGUACCAGCAAUUAAAAUUGAAGUGGAAAAUGAAUGAGACGCUUGGACUAGCAUCUGGAGUUCCUUUAGAAAGCAAUUGCAAUCUGACACAAGUUAUAACAGUAUUGUUAAGCUUGCUAGUGUUGGUUGAUGGAUACCCCUGCCCUGCAAUUUUUGUUUAGAUAACAGAAAGAGCUGUGUCUCUGAAAUCCAAGGAGAUAAGGAAAGUCUGCCAAGUCUUUGUACCAAGGAAAUAGGAGAUUCUGCUUGGAAUUGGUUAGUGAAUAUGUAACAUACUUCUGGGAAACUUCUGCAUGUGUACCAUACCUCUUGGAAAACUUCUGCAUAUGUUACGUGAGAUAACUCAAGAUCUUUUGUGAAGGCAUGAUAGGAGGAUUACCCCCAUGUAUCCAGCACUGAUAUUAAACACUGUCUGCUUUCUAACACU
ensembl:lncRNA